AAAUCAAAAUCCGACCCCAGCAUUAGCCACGGGGUAGGUGUUCCUCUUGAGGAAGGCAGGAAUUCUUCUCCCACCUGUUGGG
rnacentral:lncRNA from 1 species